ensembl:lncRNA
CACUAAGUUCUCCUUCUCCACUAUAAAUCGUUGUUGAUAUGAGGAAGGAACAUUCCCAGUCUCCUCCCGUUUUAAACUUUAGGAGGACAUGAGAUCCUGGUCCACACCUGCGGAGUACCUGGUUUGGGGGUCCCGUUGCUGUCCUUGUCCAUCUGGUCAUACUUCUGACCUAGUCUAAAUUUAAAUAAACUCUGGAUUUAGCCCACAUGCAUUUAUUAAUUAUUCCAAUUGGACUCUUAAUAUCUCACCUGGCACAGCCAGAAGAGGACUGGUCACCCCUCUGAGCCUGGGUCCUCUCUAGGUUUCUUCCUAAAAUUUGGCCUUUUUUGGGAGUUUUGCCUAGCCACUGAAAUUCAACACUACUGUUGUUUGUGCCUUGGGGUUUAAGGCCAGGUGUUUAGUAAAAGCACUUUGUGACAGCUGCUGUUGUAAAAAGGGCUUUAUAAAUACAUUUGAUUAAUUGAUUGAAGAAAGUUCAGAGACAAAAUUCUCAUGUCUUAAUUAGUAGUUUGCAAAUAGAAAGAAGCAUCAAAUAUUACUGAAUAAACCGUGGGGCAUCUCUAGAGUAACACAGAACAAUCCUCAGUACUUAUACAGUAAAAGGGGGUGUGUUAAGACUGCUCAAUAAUUCUCUAAAGAAUGUUCCUUUAUCCCUUCCUGCCCCUGCUUGUGUCUUCCUCUAUCCUGUCCUAGGUGUUUACCCAAGUAGGGGCAAAUUGCACUGCCACAAUAGCACUGCCUAUCAUGUUUGUGUAUAAUCAACUGGUUAAUAUCUGUAGUCACACAUUUAAAAUCUAUAGACUAUGAGCACACUGGAGUUGUCCAUGGAGACUUUAAAUAUGUUUAUAUAUUCUAAAAUCAUCUGUCACCACACCACACAGUUUAAUUCACAAACAUCCUGGUUUCUCUUUUCAGAAGAACUGUAAGGCCUCAAUUAAGUAAAAACUGCAUUAAUUGUUCCCUAGUGACAAUUCCAUUAUUAAGAGUAUUCUGUACAGAGUACCUUUUGGAUAAUCAAUGCUGUCCGGCUAUUUUAAGUGUGAAAUUGCUCCUGCAAUAAUCAAAGCUAAUGUAAACCUAUAACUACCUACAUAACUUUCGUUAUAAACAACGUGUAGCUACAGUACUACAGGUAGCUACUGUAUAUAGCUACUGUAUAUAGUUUCAGCCAUGCCUCUCCAGUAUAUCCCUGGUAGGCUAUUUAGCCUAUGAGCGCAGAAUUAUGUUUUACCAUGUCGACACAGAGGCGAUGCAAGAUUUCGGGAAGGCGGCCACCUUUAAGUUUUAUAUGCAGGAAAAUCCCUGCAUGAUGUCGAAAAUAAUUUCCAUACAUUACAUUUUUUAAUUCACAAAAAAAAGUUUAACAUUUACAAGAAAUGGUGGUGGGCUAGCUGAAAUGGUAUAUUUAUUAGCAGAACAUACCGUUGUUUUCCAGUGCAUUAAUAUUUUGAACUUGUGAUGAUUUAGUUCUUCGAAGUGAAAACGGAUGAUAAUGGGGGUGGCCAAUAAUAGGGAGAUGUUAGCUACUAUUUACAGAAGGGAGCUUGCUUCAGAUGAGCAAGUUCUCUUUAAAGCAUCAAACUCAACGGGACAUGCUGACAAAUGAAUACAGUUCUAUACAUUUUCUAUACAAUUUGUAAGAAUUUUAUGGAACCGUUGAUUAAUUUUUCUUAUCAGAGUAAAUAUAUUGAUUUAUUUAGGAGGAGCUAAUUAAUAUUUUAGGGGGGGCUAAAGUCUUACUGGCCCCGGGGGCUAGGCCUCCCUGCAGCUGAGUAUUUGAAUAGUUAUUUAGCAAAUUUUUAUGACAAAUUUCCAAUAACUUUGGUGGACACUGUCAUCUCACUAUAAGAUUGUUGACAACGUCCCCGUCUUCUAUGUAAGAGUAAUACUACACAGUUGCUGACGUGUUUUUGUUGUACACAGAUAACUGCAGGGAAGAAAGAGAAGACGGAGAGCCUGAAUAAAAUAUUUACAGAAGUCCAAAGGGAUGUCAAUAGUUUAUCGAAAUGCACAGCUCCAAAGCCCAAACAGCCAACACAGGUUGUCUGUAAAGCACCAAAGGAACCUGCAGAUGUGGACAAUGCUGCCCAGAUGUUCUCUCAGCUGUAGUCCAGAAUGGCAACCUGAAUUGAAAACAUGAAUAAAAUACGGACAGUCCAUACUGCCUCAUGAACAUAAAAAUAGACCUUCAAUAACAUCAAAUGUAAUAUGACUGAUAUGGUAAUAUAUGUAAACAUAGUUUCAUUAAGAUGAGUGCAAUAGAUAAAAAAAAAGGGUUUCUGAGAGGUUUACAUGCUGUACAGUUGCAGUUUAUGAAUUCUUAAAUGUAUCUCCUUUCACAAGACUGUCCUGCCAAUGCUAUGUCCUGUAUUCAACAGCACCCAGUAUUGUUUAUUUUUAUUUUGGAUUUUCACAUUAUUAAAGUAUGGGUAAUAUGAAAUAUUGUGUAAUUUAUUGUAAGCUAUGUGGGUGUAUCUGUAAUUUUUUUAAAUUGCUAAUUCUUAUCCUUCUUGCAGACAUAUAGCUCUGUGCAACUUGCUGUAUGUCUUGUUGUCAGUAUGCUAGACACAUCCAGCUGUAACCAGUUGACAUCAGAGGUCAUGCUUUACUGAUGUGCUGCUGAUUGCCUGUCUGUCUGGAUCCAGCCUCCACUUUGGAGCCUGUAUUUAGUCGAUAAGCUUGGGGCUGUCAGAAGACAAGUGUGACUGGCAAAUGCAGCAAACACGAUUACAUUAGCUUUUUAGUUUGUAACAUGCAUUUGUCUGUUAGCUGUUUUUCUGGAAAUAGGUAUUGGUGAAACGAUAUGUAAACAGUACUGUAAAUCGCCCUGGAUAAUAGUAUUUACAAUUAUUUUGAUCUAAAUUUUAGAUUUCUUUAAAUCCUUUGUGGUGACUGUUAAUAACAUUUUCAAGAUUACAAACCUAAAAGUGUUUCAUAUGUCUCAGUGAUUGUGCUCAGUUAGGAUAAUCUGACAGCUGCUGCAUUGGUAAGCAGGCUGGCCUUAGGCAGGUACGUCCUUCUGAGACCCAAAUGGCACAAUUAACUGACAGCGGGGUGCCCUCAUGAUGCCCUGUGUAAAUAUAUUGUGCACGCAACUUAUAUUCACAAAGAUAUUAUAAGCUACCACAUAGGACAAACUUCCACUCAUACAGUGAAGUGCCAUUUAGGCUUCUUUUCCACAGCAGGGCACAUGGUGAAUUUUUACAUUUUACUUGAUAAAAUGGGGGUAUGCUUCAAUUCGUGAUUCAGCCUUGUUCUGGAAUUUCGGUAUCUCCACUUGGGAUUUUAGCUGAACCGUUGAUUGCCAUGUGGUGUGGAAGUGUGAGAAUCAUGGCACCUGUCAGUGGGUGGGAUAUAUUAGGCAGCAAGUGAACAUUCUGUCCUCAAUGUUGAUGUGUUAGAAGCAGGGAAAAUGGGCAAGCGUAAGGAUCUGAGUGACUUUGACAAGGGCCAAAUUGUGAUGGCUGGAAGACUGGGUGGGAGCAUCUCCAAAACUGCAGCCCUUGUGGGGUGUUCCUGGUCAGCAGCGGUCAGUACCUAUCAAAGGUGGUCCAAGGUAGGAAAACUGGGCGGCCAAGGCUCAUUGAUGCACGGGGGGAGAGAAGGCUGGCCCAUGUGGUCCAAUCCAACAGACGAGCUAUUGUAGCUCAAAUUGCUGAAAAAGUUAAUGCUGGUACUGAUAGAAUGGUGUCAGAACACAGUGCAUCCCAGUUUGUUGUGUAUUGGGCAGCAUAGCUGAAGACCAGUCAGGGUGCCCAUGCUGACCAGUCCACUGCUGGAAGCGCCUACAAUGGGCAAGUGAACAUCAGAACUGGACCACAGAAAAUGGGAGAAGAUGACCUGGUCUGAUAAAUCAUGUUUCUUUUUAAAUCACGUGGAUGGCCGGGUGCGUGUGCGUCGCUUAACUGGAGAACACAUGGCACCAGGAUGCACUAUGGGAAGGAGGCAAGCUGGCGGAGGCGGUGUGAUGCUUUGGGCAAUGUUCUUCUGGGAAACCUUGGGUCCUGCCAUUCAUGUGGAUGUUAUUUUGACAUGUACCACCUACCUAACCAUUGUUGCAUAAUGUUAUGGCUGAUCAGCGUAGAUGCGCAUAUUGCCAUACUGUGCAUUAGCAUCUCAAAGGUCAGGUUAAAAGUUACAUGGAAACAGUGCAAAUCCAGUGGUACAGAGUUAGAAUUCAUCAGUAAAAGCAAACUAUUAUAUCACUAAAGUAAAUUAAUUUACAUAUUACAGAAACAAGACAAAACAGACUUAUAAACUCAUCUAACAUAAUUAUAUUAAACAAACAGUAUGCCUGGGAGUUGGUAAUUAAACGGAGUGUCUAUUUGCACCCAGGUGAAUAUAGCCACACGGCAGCUAAUCGGCUAUUUACAACCACCCAAAUAAAUUACGUAAUGAGUAGCAGAUAGCUACGUGCAUCAACGGCUGCGUAACAUAAGUGGAUAGCUACAUACAUCAAAGGCAGCAGACUCCAAAGGAUACUAGUCACACGGCUUUAACAGCUGGCUCACUGCAGUAGGUAGGGCGUCAGUCUUAUAAUCUCAAGGUUGUGAGUUUGAGCCUCACAGAGGGCAUGGCUUUCACAGCAUCUCGUUGUGCUUGUUCAAUGAAAUCAAUGAAAUCUAAUAAAAAUACAAAGUUGAUAUGUGCCUCAGCAGUUGCAGGUGCCAAAGGAGGUUUCAAUUUAAAAAGGUAGGCUACAUUAAACACAAAAUAUAACCUUUUCAACAACAUUGUGUUUUCUCACUGUUUGUAUAAUUAGACUAAAAUUUUCCAGUGUGUUAACUUCUAUGGUUAGCUAUGCCCAACUAAUUGAGCAAAUGUUAGGCGUUAGCCAAAUUUAGCAAAUGUAAGCCAGUAAUAAUGGAGGCAUACAGUAAUUUUGCUAACUAGUAGCGUUAGUGCUAGGUAGCUCUAACUGGCAACACCCGGACACCUGGGUGCAAAUAUCAUCUGCCUUUAAUUCCACCCCAGAUGAAAAUAUUGUUGGCUACAGACACCUGGGUGCAAAUAGCAUCUGCCUUAAUUAAAUUAUUGUUGAUCAAGUAACAUUUUACUGAAGAGUUAUGAAUUCACAUGCACCUGUGCAUCUCACAUAAAUGAUCCAUUGGGUCCAGUACAGGAAUGUAUGAAUAAAUAUGCACUCUGGUAUGUCGCUCUGAAUGAAAUAACCUGAAAAUGACCAAUGUUAAUGGAUGUCCACACGAUGGUGCUAUUAGAAGACUAAGGGUUGAUGGGUUGUGUGAACAAGAACAUGGUGUGUGAGUGUUGUGUGUGUGUAAGACAGACAGUGAGAUACUGAAUCUAAAUGAUGGUCCAUUUGCAGUGUGUCACUCUUACGGCACAAGUGGUUUUUUUACUUUGACAAGCUAACACCCAGUGGUCACAUUUCCUGCCCUCCCCAUUGAGAAUGUACAGUGGAUAUAAAGAGUCUACACAGCCCUGUUAAUAUGCCAGGUUCUUGUGAUGUAAAAGAAUGAGAUAAAGAUAAAUCAUAUAACUUUUUCCACCUUUAAUGUGACCUAUAACGUGAACAAUUCAAUUGAAAAACAAACAAAUCUUUGAGGAGGAAAAAUAAAAAACACAAUAACCUGGUUGCAUAAGUGUGCAUACACCCUUAAACUGAUACUUUGUUGAAGCACCUUUUGAUUUUAUUACAGCACUCAGUCUUUUUGGGUAGGAGUCUAUUAGCAUGGCACAUCUUGACGUGGCAAUAUUUGCCAACUCUUCUUUGCAAAAGCACUCCAAGUCUGUCAGAUUGCGAGGACAUCCCCUGUGAAAAUGCCAGGUUUUUGUGAUGCAAAAGAAUGAGACAAAAAUAAAUCAUGUCAGAACUUUUUCCACUUUUAAUGUGACCUAUAAUGUGAACAAUUCAAUAUAAAAACGAACUGAAAUCUUCGAGGGGGAAACAAAUUAAAACCUUAACCUAUUUGCAUAAGUGUCCUCACCCUCUUAUAACUGGGACUGUGUUCAAAAUUAACCAAUCACAUUCAAACUCAUGUUGAAUAGAAGUCAUUACACACCAGCCAUCAUUUAAAGUGAUGUAACAUGUAAUGUUACAUCACUUUAAAUGUGAUGUAACUUUAUUCAUCAAAAAUAAAGUUCAGCUGUUCUUUUUUCCUGACAUUUUCCUGACAUUUUCUUAGUUGCAUCUCAGAGCAAAAGCCAUGGUCCACAGAGAGCUUCCAAAGCAUCAGAGGGAUCUCAUUGUUCGUGAUGGUAUGGGGGUACAUGGGUGACUUGCACAUCCAUGAAAGCACUGUUAAUGCUGUACAAUAUUUACAGGUUUUGGAGCGACAUAUGCUGCCAUGUCUUUUUCAGAAGGCCUUGCUUAAUUCAGCAAGACAAUUGCUGACAAUUGCUGAAAUUCGGCACGUAUUACAACAGCAUGGCUCUGUCGUAAAAGAGUCCUAAAGAGGUGCUAAACUGGCCUGCCUGUAGUCCAGACCUGUUACCCACUGAAUACAUUUGGUGCAUAAUGAAACAAAAAAUACAACAAAGGAGACCUUAAAAUGUUGAGCGGCUGAAAUGCUAUAUCAAGCAAGAAUGGGAAUAAAUUUCACUUUCCAAACUACAGCAAUUGGUCUCCUCAGUUCCUGGCAACAAAUUCUAAAUGGGCAUGUAUUUUUCCCAAAAUAAUAACAUCUUGC